GAUGAACGCUGGCGGCGUGCCUAAUACAUGCAAGUCGAGCGAAUGGAUUAAGAGCUUGCUCUUAUGAAGUUAGCGGCGGACGGGUGAGUAACACGUGGGUAACCUGCCCAUAAGACUGGGAUAACUCCGGGAAACCGGGGCUAAUACCGGAUAACAUUUUGAACCGCAUGGUUCGAAAUUGAAAGGCGGCUUCGGCUGGCACUUAUGGAUGGACCCGCGUCGCAUUAGCUAGUUGGUGAGGUAACGGCUCACCAAGGCAACGAUGCGUAGCCGACCUGAGAGGGUGAUCGGCCACACUGGGACUGAGACACGGCCCAGACUCCUACGGGAGGCAGCAGUAGGGAAUCUUCCACAAUGGACGAAAGUCUGACGGAGCAACGCCGCGUGAGUGAUGAAGGCUUUCGGGUCGUAAAACUCUGUUGUUAGGGAAGAACAAGCGCUAGUUGAAUAAGCUGGCACCUUGACGGUACCUAACCAGAAAGCCACGGCUAACUACGUGCCAGCAGCCGCGGUAA
rnacentral:rRNA from 1 species